rnacentral:rRNA from 1 species
CCUACGGGUGGCAGCAGUGAGGAAUAUUGGUCAAUGGGCGAGAGCCUGAACCAGCCAAGUCGCGUGAAGGAUGAAGGAUUUCUGGUUUUUAAACUCUUUUUAUAUGGGAAUAAAGUGAGGAACGUGUUCCUUUUUUAUGUACCAUAUGAAUAAGCAUCGGCUAACUCCGUGCCAGCAGCCGCGGUAAUACGGAGGAUGCGAGCGUUAUCCGGAUUUAUUGGGUUUAAAGGAGGCGUAGGUGGUUGAUUAAGUCAGCGGUGAAAGGUUGUGGCUCAACCAUAGAAUUGCCGUUGAAACUGGUUGACUAGAGUACAGUUGAGGUAGGCGGAAUGCGUGGUGUAGCGGUGAAAUGCAUAGAUAUCACGCAGAACACCGAUUGCGAAGGCAGCUUACUAAACUAUAACUGACGCUGAAGCACGAAAGCGUGGGGAUCAAACAGGAUUAGAUACCCUAGUAGUC